GAUCUAUCUUCUAGGGUUGAUUUCAUCCAUAUAUAUAUAACAUGAUUGUUUAGAAAACACUUGUUGAAGACAAGCAUGGCUCGGUCUUAAAUACCGCAUGACUUGUUCUAACCGAUUACAUGAGUUCUCAUUUAACUCUAUAUAUUAUAGAUAUCAGAAAUCAACUAUAAUGAAUACACGGCACUCAAUGCCUCUGGUGACAAUUAUUUAAAAUGGGCUUUGGACACUGAGAUUGUCC
rnacentral:lncRNA from 1 species